GUCAGCCUCAAACAGGAAACAGUUUCCUGUUUGAGGCUGAAUAGCAGAGAAAGUGGCAGAGCAUCUCAGCUUGUCUUUUCUCAAGUCACUUUAGAUUUCUCAAGUCAUCUAAAGUGACUUGAGAAAAGAAACAGACUGGGACAUCACAAACACAGUGAAGCAGCAUCUGUCUAGCCAGGUACGGUUCUUGUAAGAUUUAAAGAUUGAACUUCCUUUCUGAAGAUCUAAAGCUGUAUUACAAAUGUAAAGCUAAGUUUUGUGCUUUGUUCAACCUGGAAGAACUUGAGGAUUCUAGUGUAGAAAAAUCAACUGUAGUGCUAUACACUUCCUCAGUAACUGAUUUUGUGUCACAGUGUAUCAUGACCUGUAUUAUAAAUACAAUGUUACAGCUGCUGUGUUUCAAAGAUGACUUAUCGGAUGCUGUAAAGUGACUGCUGUCUUCAUGGCGGCCGCUCAUCUGCUGAGUUUGAUGACUGGCCCUCGGGAGAUGAGACACCUGGGUCUCAUUAAGAUGAUCAGCAUCUAAGCCAGGAGAGGUCCCUGGAUUCCCCCCCCCCCCCGUGUGAUUCCCGAGUGGCAAGUGUUGCAGUUAGAACCUGUGAUCGUGUGUGUGGAUGAUUUGAAGAAUGCGUGUGUUACAGGAAAAAUGUUUCUAUGUUUCUUUACCUUCUUUUAAAUGUGCAAGCAUGCCCUUUUGUCUAUGGUUAG
ensembl:lncRNA